rnacentral:rRNA from 1 species
UACGUAGGGCGCAAGCGUUGUCCGGAAUUAUUGGGCGUAAAGAGCUCGUAGGCGGCUUGUCGCGUCUGCCGUGAAAGUCCGGGGCUCAACUCCGGAUCUGCGGUGGGUACGGGCAGACUAGAGUGAUGUAGGGGAGACUGGAAUUCCUGGUGUAGCGGUGGAAUGCGCAGAUAUCAGGAGGAACACCAAUGGCGAAGGCAGAUCUCUGGGCCGUAACUGACGCUGAGGAGCGAAAGCAUGGGGAGCGAACAGG